rnacentral:tRNA from 1 species
AAAGCAUAUUUACAAUCAAUUAUGAAAUUCUUAUUUACAAUAGGAGUUAUUGAUAUUUAAUUCAACUGCUUUU